GAUGAACGCUGGCGGCGUGCCUAAUACAUGCAAGUCGAGCGAACAGACGAGGAGCUUGCUCCUCUGACGUUAGCGGCGGACGGGUGAGUAACACGUGGAUAACCUACCUAUAAGACUGGGAUAACUUCGGGAAACCGGAGCUAAUACCGGAUAAUAUAUUCAACCGCAUGGUUCAAUAGUGAAAGACGGUUUGGCUGUCACUUAGAGAUGGAUCCGCGCCGCAUUAGCUAGUUGGUAAGGUAACGGCUUACCAAGGCAACGAUGCGUAGCCGACCUGAGAGGGUGAUCGGCCACACUGGAACUGAGACACGGUCCAGACUCCUACGGGAGGCAGCAGUAGGGAAUCUUCCGCAAUGGGCGAAAGCCUGACGGAGCAACGCCGCGUGAGUGAUGAAGGUCUUCGGAUCGUAAAACUCUGUUAUUAGGGAAGAACAAAUGUGUAAGUAACUAUGCACGUCUUGACGGUACCUAAUCAGAAAGCCACGGCUAACUACGUG
rnacentral:rRNA from 1 species